GACGAACGCUGGCGGCGUGCUUAACACAUGCAAGUCGAACGGAAGGGCCCUGCUUUUGUGGGGUGCUCGAGUGGCGAACGGGUGAGUAACACGUGAGUAACCUGCCCUUGACUUUGGGAUAACUUCAGGAAACUGGGGCUAAUACCGGAUAGGAGCUCCUGCUGCAUGGUGGGGGUUGGAAAGUUUCGGCGGUUGGGGAUGGACUCGCGGCUUAUCAGCUUGUUGGUGGGGUAGUGGCUUACCAAGGCUUUGACGGGUAGCCGGCCUGAGAGGGUGACCGGCCACAUUGGGACUGAGAUACGGCCCAGACUCCUACGGGAGGCAGCAGUGGGGAAUAUUGCACAAUGGGCGGAAGCCUGAUGCAGCAACGCCGCGUGCGGGAUGACGGCCUUCGGGUUGUAAACCGCUUUCGCCUGUGACGAAGCGUGAGUGACGGUAAUGGGUAAAGAAGCACCGGCUAACUACGGG
rnacentral:rRNA from 1 species